AUUGGACAAUGGGCGAAAGCCUGAUCCAGCCAUGCCGCGUGUGUGAAGAAGGCUUUCGGGUUGUAAAGCACUUUCAGUGGGGAAGAAAUCCUCGGGGCCAAUACCCUCGAGGGAGGACAUCACCCACAGAAGAAGCACCGGCUAACUCCGUGCCAGCAGCCGCGGUAAUACGGAGGGUGCGAGCGUUAAUCGGAAUUACUGGGCGUAAAGCGCGCGUAGGCGGCGUGAUAAGCCGGUUGUGAAAGCCCCGGGCUCAACCUGGGAACGGCAUCCGGAACUGUCAGGCUAGAGUGCAGGAGAGGAAGGUAGAAUUCCCGGUGUAGCGGUGAAAUGCGUAGAGAUCGGGAGGAAUACCAGUGGCGAAGGCGGCCUUCUGGACUGACACUGACGCUGAGGUGCGAAAGCGUGGGUAGCAAACAGGAUUAGA
rnacentral:rRNA from 1 species